rnacentral:rRNA from 1 species
AUCUGCCCCCAUCACAGACAUAACCUCGGGAAACCGAGGCUAAUAUCUGAUGAGGUCGUGAGAUCAAAGCUUCGGCGGAUGGGGAUGAGCCUGCGGCUGAUUAGCUAGUUGGUGAGGUAAUGGCUCACCAAGGCGACGAUCAGUAGCUGGUCUGAGAGGACGAACAGCCACACUGGAACUGAGACACGGUCCAGACUCCUACGGGAGGCAGCAGUGAGGAAUAUUGGUCAAUGGGAGCAAUCCUGAACCAGCAAUGCCGCGUGUGGGAUGAAGGCGCUUCGCGUCGUAAACCACUGUCGGACGGGACGAAAGGAGCUAUGAAGCUCUAGGACGGUACCGUCAAAGGAAGGAUCGGCUAACUACGUGCCAGCAGCCGCGGUAAUACGUAGGAUCCAAGCGUUGUCCGGAUUUACUGGGUAUAAAGGGUGCGUAGGCGGCCUUGUGCGUCAGAGGUGAAAUCUCCGGGCUUAACCCGGAGGGUGCCUUUGAUACGGCAGGGCUUGAGUGCGAGAGAGGAUGAUGGAAUUCCUGGUGUAGCGGUGAAAUGCGUAGAUAUCAGGAGGAACACCGGUGGCGAAGGCGGUCAUCUGGCUCGAAACUGACGCUGAGGCACGAAAGCGUGGGGAUCAAACAGGAUUAGAUACCCUGGUAGUCCACGCCCUAAACGAUGUAUGCUUGGUGUUGGGGUCGCAAGAUCUCAGUGCCGUAGGAAAUCUGAUAAGCAUACCACC